GAUGUCAGAAGAGGCGCGAUUAUCAGGCAGUCAGUACUCGGAGCCCCACUCCAAUGUGUGCUGAUCAGGGGAUAAAUCGCCGAGGUGGACCGGAAAAAGGGGAUCCGGUUUGUCGGUCUUGAAGGUUGAGUCCUUCGGAUUGUCACCCAAGGUGGGUGGAGUGCUUCUGGUUAU
rnacentral:ncRNA from 2 species